rnacentral:lncRNA from 1 species
AAAACGACCUUCGCUCCUCUUGUCACAGAAAAUUUUGGACUUCUUUUCGAUGCUUGGACUGGACACACUAAUUCCGAAAUUUAUGCGAGUAUCUUCGGCCAUGAAAAUAACCGACCGGAAUGCCAAAUUGUAAUAAUUGCUGAAAAGUGUAGAGCACAAUGUUAGCCGUUAGACACAAUUGUACAUAGAUAAAUAAAAUACUUACAAAAUAGAAUUGUAACUGCUUUAGAAAUGUUAUAUGACCAUUCUACAUCGCCUAAUGAGGAAAGCUGGACAAACAGAGCGAGUAUCAUACAUCUACACUCAUUAAUACAUCACCAAAUUUCGUCCGAUAUAUUCAGAUCUCUAACAUUGUAUUCUUGGUGGUCAGCUGGAAUAAUGGAUAACCGUUGCCAAUUUUCUAAUGAUAAGCGAGCUUUUUUUUUAAUUUUUAUGUACA